rnacentral:rRNA from 1 species
CCCUUAGAUGUUCUGGGCCGCACGCGCGCUACACUGACGGAGGCAGCGAGCAUGUCCUUCGCCGAGAGGUGUGGGGAAUCUUGUGAGUCUCCGUCGUGCUGGGGAUAGAUGGUUGCAAUUGUCGAUCUUGAACGAGGAAUUCCUAGUAAGCGCGAGUCAUCAGCUCGCGCUGAUUACGUCCCUGCCCUUUGUACACACCGCCCGUCGCUACUACCGAUUGAAUGAUUUAGUGAGGACUUCGGACUGGGACCGAUGCGGCUUUCGGGCUGCGUCGGUAUUCUGGAAAGAUGUCCAAACUGUAUCAUUUAGAGGAAGUAAAAGUCGUAACA